rnacentral:rRNA from 1 species
UACGUAGGGGGCGAGCGUUGUCCGGAGUUACUGGGCGCAAAGCGCACGCAGGCGGUCUGCUAAGUUUGGAGUGACAGUUGGUGGCUUAACUGCCAAAGUGCUUCGAAAACUGACAGACUUGAGGGCUUCAGAGGGACACGGAAUUCCGGGUGGAGUGGUGAAAUGCGUAGAGAUCCGGAGGAACACCAAAGGCGAAGGCAGUGUCCUGGGGAGUACCUGACGCUCAGGUGCGAAAGCCAGGGGAGCGAACGGG